GAUAAGCCUAGCAAUGAGUUUCCGUAUCCAACUUUAAUCGUCCGUUUUAUUUAAAUUUUUUUUUAUAACUAGCAUUUUUGUUGUUAUGAAAUGAUAAAACAUGAAUAGUACUUUACUUGUGACUUAUGUUUUUAAUUUCUUUUCAAAAAAUUUUGAAAUACGACGAACGGUUAAAGUUAGGACACGAAAAACUAUGGCUGCACUUAUU
rfam:Oryza meridionalis cultivar OR44 (W2112) chromosome 4, whole genome shotgun sequence.